rnacentral:lncRNA from 1 species
CGGAUAGUGAAUGAUAUAUAACAUAACAACAAAAGGAAUAGCUUAAUAUAUACUGAUAAUAAUCAUAAGUCUCCAAAAUAACAAACAUAAAUCAAAUCAUAUCAUCACAUCUCCGUGAGCUACAAAGCAUAACUGAUAACUCUCUCUCAUUAUAAAAUUUAUAUGUAAUAAGACUCACUCCCUAAAAGACUAAAAACCCAGUGGAUCCGCCGCUACUAAGCCCACAUAACGUCUAAACAACGCAAAAAAAGAAAAAAAAAUGAAGAAACCACUCUACACACCCAAUAAGCUAGUGACACGUAAUCAGAUAGAGAACCGGCCUCUUAAACCCUGAGAACUGAGCCGAACACCAGAGCGGAAAGGAGAGCGACACCAGCGGCGGCUAAGGAAGGCGAGAUCGAGCCGGCUCCGGAAGCGGGAGCUGGAGCGGGAGAGAGAUCUUGAGCCGACCCUGCGAGAACCAAGGCGGCCAGGACAACGGCCAUCAUCAGCGUAGCCAUUGAAGCCUUUGAGAAUGCCAUUAUUGAAGCCUUUUUUUCUCAGGGUUUUUGAGAGCGUAACCGAAGGAAGCUGAGAGAGAUUCUUUUUCCUGUGUCUGUAUGUGGGAAGUGUUAGUAUUUAAGACAUGAGAAGAAAAUAGUGAGGUUUAUUUAUAGACUGAAAAGUGUGGACGGGAAGAGAGAAUUUCGGGCAGCGGCCCGGAUUUUUCCAGUCUGUCUAUUGGUUUCUUGACAGCUAUGUUUAUUUGUGGGGCCCAGUUAAUUAUAAUUUCACGCGACCGUUUAGGGUAUCGAACGGCGAAGCGACGUCGUGUCGGUUCACGAGUGUGACUUACGCCGAGGAAAUAAUUGAUUCUUUGGGAUUGGGAAAAAUUUGAGCAAAGUAAAAUUACGGAAACAGCAGCGAAUUAUAAUAUCGCAGUCUGUGAUAAACUUGAUAACUAUCUACUUGAAUUGAUAGGACAUAUAAAAAGAACAUUGUAUUAUUUAAAGGAUUGAAUAAUUUAAUUGAUAAAAAUCUCUUACCGCUAAGUUUGGAGAUCCAUUUGCACUCAAAUUUGGUGGAGGAAAAUUUUGAUUUCAGUUGUGUUAUGUUAUUAACAAAAAUUAUUGUUCAAAAAAUGCCUUUUUGUAGCUGCAAUAAAUGAGAAAAUUUUAAAGUACUUUUUUUUUAUUAUUUAUAUAAAUUGAACGAAAUCUUGGUGUGAUUAUUUUGUAAAUUCUCGAGAACUUUU